rnacentral:rRNA from 1 species
UACGUAGGUCCCGAGCGUUGUCCGGAUUUAUUGGGCGUAAAGCGAGCGCAGGUGGUUUAUUAAGUCUGGUGUAAAAGGCAGUGGCUCAACCAUUGUAUGCAUUGGAAACUGGUAGACUUGAGUGCAGGAGAGGAGAGUGGAAUUCCAUGUGUAGCGGUGAAAUGCGUAGAUAUAUGGAGGAACACCGGUGGCGAAAGCGGCUCUCCGGCCUGUAACUGACACUGAGGCUCGAAAGCGUGGGGAGCAGACAGG